AUAUUGUAUGAAAUGAAAGAUUAAUGCCACCUCUGACAAAGAUGGAAGAGGUAUACAAACCCAACAAGAUACAUAUGAUUAAGACCCCAUCACCUAGUUUGUGAUUGCUAAUUACUAUUUUAA